ACCACAUCUCCUUUCCUUUCAUAUAUAAAGUUAUCAAAAGUUAAUAUUGUUUCAAUCAGUUAGAUAACAGUAAGAACACAACGUCAACAAUAAGUAAUUAAUAUAAUAGUCCUUUCACAAGUUUUUAGGACAUCUCUUUCUUAAAUCAUAUGGACGCGUAGUCCCACAUGCCUUCCUCCCAAUGGAUUAGUCGUUGGGGUUGGGUUCUGUUCGUCAUUCGCUUGAAACGUAUUGUUACCAGGAGGGGAAGGUGCAGGUCUUAGAUAUCUUCGAUUACGGGUGAGUGUAGACCCUUGGUCGGUUAAUACUAUGUAGGUGCAAUUCGGUUUAAUUUCAGCAAUUGUUCCAAGUAGUGACCAAUCGGAAUCGACGCGGGAACGAAUAGCUACACGGGUACCAGUCUGGAGAGGAGGUAAUGGGGUAGUAUGUUGAUCAUAGGUAGCUUUCUCUUUCUUCUUGAGAUCAAGGAUUUUCGCAUUCGUCUCAUUUGUUGGAAACGGGUCUUCACAACACAAUCACAAAAUUAAUAAAAUAUAUAAUAAAACAAAAAUAAAUUUACAAAUAUAAUCUGAUAUGUAGUUCACGCUUCGCUAGUGUUUUUUGAUCAACAACGUGUUCGUUACAUUCGUCCCCGGAAUUACAUCACCCCGGGCAAAGUUCCCAGAGGACUAAAUUUCCGACAUUGCGCAAUUUACUUCACUCUCCCCUAUUUGACUUGCUACAAGACAAAUAUAUAACCUAGUAAAUCACGUGCUAAACAACUAACUUAAUGUAAAUGUAUCUUUAGUUCCUGCUAAGUGUUCUCUCUAGUCCAAUUCGUCUAGUUCAUUUCUAGCAAUGUUCGCUAUUAGUCCAGUUCUGGCCCCUGACCGCGCUCCUCCCCGCGGAGAAGGGUCCAGGGAAAACUGCAUGCGCAUGCUCUCAUGCGCAGUACCGAUUACCAGCUUUUCCUGGUAAUCGGAACUGCGCAUGUUUUGAUUUGCAAAAUAUAGUAAUAUGGCGGCAGAGAAGUAUCGAAAGUUAUUUCCUUAUUACGAGUAUAAUUAAGCUUGCAAGUGAUGAACCAGGCGGGAAUCGUAAUCGUAGUAUAAAGAUUAAUGCCCAGCAUAACGUACGCAAAAGAGUACGUUACGUAUAUCAGCAGUGGCGUAGCUGGCUGAAAAAAAUCGUCCCGCCGAAGGCGGGUAUUAAGGUCCUUCAUCCGUACCAUUUGUUUUAUCCGUUCACUCUGUUUUUAUGAAGUUGUCGUUGUUGAAUCCAACAAAAGCUCAAGGUCCAGAUGGCCUCCCGGCCUGGCUACUGAAGGAGAAUGCAGACCUUCUUGCAGAACCUAUAGCAGAAAUUAUAAACAGCUCCUUCCGCGAAAGUAGGUUACCACCAUCAUGGAAAGAAGCGGAUAUAGUUCCAGUACCGAAACAAAGAAUAGUAAAAGACGUCAGCAAACACUUAAGACCAAUUUCCCUCACGCCAAUACUUUCUAAAGUUGCUGAGGAGUUCAUCAUACAAGAAUAUGUCAAACCG